AAACGAACUACAAGAGGACCUCAAGCUGCGUGAAUCACGUUGGUCAGCGGCUGCUACCCGAUACAAAGACCGCAUCAAUAAUCUCGAGCAGGAAAACAGGGAGAUGAGGGAGGAAGUGAAACUGUUGGAGAAACAGAAUUUGGAUUUACAACGAAAGGAGCAACAGAAAGUAAAGCCCUGAGCAAACUAGGAAACAUUGUUGCGGAAGCAUUCAUUGAUUGUUUCCUGCCAACGUUUCGCCAUGUUUCCCAGAGUGGGCAAACACUAGGAAACAUCAGUGAGAAACAUAGGUAAACAUCAAAUGUUUCUGAAUUUGCUAGGAAACAUUUUUUUCUCGGGAAGCAAAUUUUGUUUCCGCAACAAUGUUUCCACGGGUGGGCAAACAGGGAAACAUUUGAGGAAACAUCGAGAAUCGCAAAUGUUUCCACAACAAUGUUUCCUAGUUCGCCCAGGUCAUAAGCUUGGAGCUCGUGCAAGCCAGUGAGCUCCAUACAUUUCUGGAGUGAGAACUCGGGUCCAAAAAGUGCAAAACCCAGGCGUUGAACAGAAAACAGAAAAAUAUUUUUGUGUUUGUUUUUCCAUUUAGAUUCGUGAAUUACAACAAUUUAAAGCUUUUGAAAAGAGGAAAUUAAAAAAGCCCGAAGCAGGGACAACUGAUCCACGUAACGGUACUAUUUUUUUACAAAAAAACCUUCUACAUUGCCUAUAGUUGUUGUUUUUACAGCUAGCUGGUCUUGGUUAGGUCUGAAAAUCUAUGAAAUUUACACAUCCCUAUUUUAUAGAAAUGCCAACUAAGAGAAGUCCAACGACCCAUGUACCACAAAACAUUGAACAAAAACUGAAUGAAAUUACUCUAAACGAAGAUGAAGAAAUAUACUCUGCACCCAAGAAUGUUUCAUCUCCUGGGACGAAAACUGCACUUGAACAUGCUGGUACCAUUGAAAUGCGAGGAAUUGAGAAAAUAGAUGAAGAUGACAGUGCGGAAAACAAACGGGACAAAACGAGGGAAUACUCGCCACCGACUAAGCAAGUGAGUUCUUCAAAAAGCGUUCGGUUCAAGGACGACGCACAUGAGGAAGAAGAGAAGCGACCUGAAACCUUGCCUAAACA
rnacentral:lncRNA from 1 species